GAACAUUCUAAACAGAAACAUUGUGAUGUAUUUUUAAGAGAAACUAUAACAGACGUAGACAAACCAAACGAGUUCAUGGUUCCAUUUAACCAAACAAAUCUGAAUAAGGAACAAAUAAAAGCUUCUUUAAUUUCGUGCAUAUUUGAACUGAUCCAUCUUGGCACCUCUCUGUGUGUAUACAGUGCUGAUAGAAGUAAUACUUUAACAUGAAUUAAAUUGGUCAUUAGAUGUCAAAGAUAACACUCCAUAAGUAGAUGAAAUCUUACAUAUUUCAUAUAAC